rnacentral:rRNA from 1 species
GUGUCAGCAGCCGCGGUAAAACGUAGGAGACAAACGUUAUCCGGAGUUACUGGGCGUAAAGGGCGUGCAGGCGGUCUGUUAAGUCUGGCGUGAAAGCUCGCGGCUAAACCGCGAGAGGUCGUUGGAUACUGACGGACUAGAGGACGGUAGAGGCGUGUGGAAUUCCGGGUGUAGUGGUGAAAUGCGUAGAGAUCCGGAGGAACACCAGUGGCGAAGGCGACACGCUGGGCCGUACCUGACGCUAAAACGCGACAGCAUGGGGAGCGAACGGGAUUAGAAACCCGUGUAGUCC